rnacentral:rRNA from 1 species
AGAGUUUGACCUGGCUCAGAUUGAACGCUGGCGGAAUGCUUUACACAUGCAAGUCGAACGGCAGCACGGGGCAACCUGGUGGCGAGUGGCGAACGGGUGAGUAAUACAUCGGAACGUGCCCAAUCGUGGGGGAUAACGUAGCGAAAGUUACGCUAAUACCGCAUACGAUCUACGGAUGAAAGCGGGGGAUCGCAAGACCUCGCGCGAGUGGAGCGGCCGAUGUCAGAUUAGGUAGUUGGUGGGGUAAAGGCUCACCAAGCCAACGAUCUGUAGCUGGUCUGAGAGGACGACCAGCCACACUGGAACUGAGACACGGUCCAGACUCCUACGGGAGGCAGCAGUGGGGAAUUUUGGACAAUGGGCGCAAGCCUGAUCCAGCCAUUCCGCGUGCAGGAUGAAGGCCUUCGGGUUGUAAACUGCUUUUGUACGGAACGAAACGGCGAGCUCUAAUACAGUUUGCUAAUGACGGUACCGUAAGAAUAAGCACCGGCUAACUACGUG